rnacentral:rRNA from 1 species
GGGCCCGCACAAGCGGUGGAGCAUGUGGUUUAAUUCGAUGCAACGCGAAGAACCUUACCAGGGCUUGACAUACUACGAAUUCUUUUGAAAAAAGAAGUGCCUUCGGGAAUGUAGAUACAGGUGGUGCAUGGCUGUCGUCAGCUCGUGUCGUGAGAUGUUGGGUUAAGUCCCGCAACGAGCGCAACCCUUAUUUUUAGUUACCAAUUCGUUGGGUUCUUUAGAAAGACUGCCGGUGACAAACCGGAGGAAGGUGAGGAUGACGUCAAGUCAGCAUGCCCCUUAUGUCCUGGGCUACACACGUGCUACAAUGGUUAAGACAAAGAGUCGCGAGCCUGCAAAGGUCAGCUAAUCUCAUAAACUUAGCCCCAGUUCAGAUUGUAGGCUGCAACUCGCCUACAUG